rnacentral:rRNA from 1 species
UGAGCGAGGAAGGUCUUCGGAUCGUAAAGCUCUGUUGUCGGAGACGAACAAGCGUCAUAGGAAAUGAUGGCGCCAUGACGGUAUCCGACCAGAAAGCCCCGGCUAACUACGUGCCAGCAGCCGCGGUAAUACGUAGGGGGCGAGCGUUGUCCGGAAUUAUUGGGCGUAAAGCGCGCGCAGGCGGCUUCUUAAGUCUGGUGUGAAAGCCCGCGGCUCAACCGCGGAGGGUCAUUGGAAACUGGGGAGCUUGAGUGCAGGAGAGGAGAGUGGAAUUCCACGUGUAGCGGUGAAAUGCGUAGAGAUGUGGAGGAACACCGGUGGCGAAAGCGGCUCUCUGGCCUGUAACUGACGCUGAGGCGCGAAAGCGUGGGGAGCAAACAG